CCUACGGGGGGCUGCAGUGGGGAAUAUUGGACAAUGGGGGGAACCCUGAUCCAGCCAUGCCGCGUGUGUGAAGAAGGCCCUCGGGUUGUAAAGCACUUUCAGUGAGGAAGAACGCCUGGUGGUUAAUACCCAUCAGGAAAGACAUCACUCACAGAAGAAGCACCGGCUAACUCCGUGCCAGCAGCCGCGGUAAUACGGAGGGUGCGAGCGUUAAUCGGAAUUACUGGGCGUAAAGCGCGCGUAGGUGGCUUGAUAAGCCGGUUGUGAAAGCCCCGGGCUCAACCUGGGAACGGCAUCCGGAACUGUCAAGCUAGAGUGCAGGAGAGGAAGUUAGAAUUCCCGGUGUAGCGGUGAAAUGCGUAGAGAUCGGGAGGAAUACCAGUGGCGAAGGCGGCCUUCUGGACUGACACUGACACUGAGGUGCGAAAGCGUGGGUAGCAAACAGGAUUAGAUACCCGAGUAGUC
rnacentral:rRNA from 1 species